UUGGAGCCUAAUGCCAACCUAGAUGAUUAGAAUUGAGAGCUCAGUUUUUGUUUACACAACACACAGCUUUAAUAAAUUUUGUAGAAUCGGCUUGAACGUUGGAAGAGCUUGUCGUUGGAACAUUGGAGCCUAGCCGUUGGGAGAUUGAUGCUUGAACGUUGGAGCCUAAGGCCAGCUGGACUAGCCGUUGGAGAUUCAUGCAUUUGAAGGCAUGGUCUAUAAAAUCAGGGCAAGAGAGGGUAAGAGGAUUUGUGGUAGGGACUGGUAGUGGGACUGAGAUUCAUACAUUUGAAGCCAUGGCCUAUAAAAUCAGGGCAAGAGAGGUAGAGAUUCAUACAUUUGAAGCCAUGCUCUGUAAAAUCAGGGCAAGAGAGGGAUAGAGGAUUUGUGGCAGUGGGACUGAGCUUUGCAUUUACAUUGGAGUGUUGGGUCAUUGGACAGAAGGUGCUUACGGAAUUAUUUGUCUCUUUGAAAGAUUUAGAAACUGAGUCCCAACGUGCGACGAAACUCUCGGUUCAUGGUUAAAAGGGCUUGACAGUGAGCUGGUUGUGAUCGAUCAGACAUUAGCGAAGGCCAAUUUUCAUCUCUUAAUUUACAUGUUUUGCAUGAGUGACAAUUUAAAAGGAGGUUUGGACAAGUGAGACAUUGAAGGAUUUGUGCACAAUGAUGAAAGUUGAAAAGGGAUCAAUGUAUAAUAUUGUUUAAUAAUGGAGUGGAAGAAUAAAACAUGCAAAUUGAUUAUUAUCAUUAUUUAUUGUAAACAUUCCUCAACAAUUAUAAUCAAUAAAGAUAUACCAUUUUUUUUCGAGGAGGGGUAGAAAUAUCCCUCCAAAAACUCUCAAAGAUGGCCAUGGACAUCUUUGAGAGUCUUUCUUGCUUCUCUACUAGUAUUAUCUUGUUUCAUUUUGUUUUUGAUUGUUUUAAAUUGGUCAAAAAUAUGA